ACUGUUGAUUUAGGACAAACAACCUCAUCUAAAGCUACACCGAGAUAGUGCACCAGACGGAGAGAUAAUUAGAUCGUAACAGACUUCAUCACAUAUCUAUUAAGACUAGGAGGAGCUCCUUCUGCGACAAAUAUCCUUGAGUAAGAUGCUCAGUAUCGCCAGACUGCUGAAGAGCCAUGAGUGAGAGAUGGGGAGAAUUAUGGCGAUUCUGACACAGUGGAGGGAGUGUGUCCUGUUUCUGUCAAGUGUGUGAGGGGUUGCACCCUAGUCGUGCUGGUGUGUGAGCAUCACAACGUCCCUGGGGCUACGCCGGACUGCAGGACCAGCACACGCGCCACACAUUUUCUUCUGUUUCCCGAGCGGAAAGCAAGCACAUAGCGGUUGUCCUUUGCACCCGACACUUGAGGUACAUUGCCUGGUCUCCCCGCACCUGCCGGAUAUACCUAGUGUCGAGUCCGAGACGGGCGGACUGCACCAUACUAGUGUCUCGUACCACGAAUGACGUAUUCUCACUAUAUCUGGAGCACCGACUGUCAAGAGCGACCACGCACAUCAUCUGAAAUGGACGUGUCUUCUUUGAUAACCUCCUUAAGGUUACAGUAACCUUGGAUACUGCCAUCAAGAAGUUCCUAUCAGUCCAAAGUCGUUUCCAGUUGGUUUAAAAUGUUUCACUGUUUGAUAAUACUCAAAAUCAACUGGCCACAUUGACAUUGAACACACCUCCUUUAAAGACUUGUCAGAUCCUUUGAAGUUUUUGAUCAAGUUUAGGUAGAGUAACACCGACGAGAAGAUGAUAACGGAUAGCCCCAUUAACACAACGGAGCUCAUCGAAUACAUGACAGACAGUCUGUAUGCCCGAACAGA